rnacentral:rRNA from 1 species
GACGAACGCUGGCGGCGUGCCUACUACAUGCAAGUCGAACGCAGUGGGGACGGGUGAGUAACCCGUUGGUAACCUCCCAUCAGAGGGGAUAACACUUGGAAACAGGUGCUAAACCGAUACUGAUUGAUGGACCCGCUGUUCAUUAGCUAGUUGGUGAGGUAACGGCUCACCAAGGCCACGAUGCAUAGCCGACCUGAGAGGGGGAUCGGCCACACUGGGACUGAGAAAAGGCCAAUACUCCUACGGGAGGCAGAAGUAGGGAAUCUUCGGAAAUUGACGAAAGUCGGACCGAGCAACGCCGCGUGAGUGAAGAAGGUUUUCGGAUCGUAAAACGCUGUUGUUAGAGAAGCGGUAUCUAACCAGAAAGCCAAGGCUAACUACGUGCCAGCAGCCGCGGUAAUUC